GCAAACUUGGUCAUUUAGAGGAAGUAAAAGUCGUAACAAGGUUUCCGUAGGUGAACCUGCGGAAGGAUCAUUAAUGAAAUUAAUACAUAUAGGGUGAAGGAUUGUUGCUGGCAAUCUGCAUGUGCACAUCCUAACCUUAUUUUUCCUUCAUUCACACCUUGUGCACAUUCUCCCUAGCUCCAUUAUGCGAGCUAUGGAAAUUUUUUAAUACACACAUAUUUGAUUGUAAUGGGGUUUAUUGUUAUACAUAUGAAUGUUAUACAACUUUCAGCAACGGAUCUCUUGGCUCUCGCAUCGAUGAAGAACGCAGC
rnacentral:misc_RNA from 1 species